GAUGAACGCUAGCUACAGGCUUAACACAUGCAAGUCGAGGGACCGGCGCACGGGUGAGUAACACGUAUCCACCCUGCCCUUUACUCGGGGAUAGCCUUUCGAAAGAAAGAUUAAUACCCGAUGUAAAGGAUGGGGCUGCGUUCCUUUAGGUUGUUGGUGAGGUAACGGCUCACCAAGCUUUCGAUGGAUAGGGGAUCUGAGAGGAAGGUACCCCACAGUGGAACUGAGACACGGACCAAAAUCCUACGGGAGGCAGCAGUGAGGAAUACUGGUCAAUGGGCGUUAGCCUGAACCAGCCAAGUAGCGUGAAGGAUGAAGGCUUAUGGGUCGUAAACUUCUUUUAUAUAAGAAUAUGUACUAGAUGAAUAAGGAUCGGCUAACUCCGUGCCAGCAGCCGCGGUAAUAC
rnacentral:rRNA from 1 species